rnacentral:rRNA from 1 species
AACGAACGUUGGCGGCGUGGAUUAGGCAUGCAAGUCGAACGAAUCCCAUUUGGGUAACUGGAUGGGGGAAGUGGCGAAAGGGGCAGUAAUGCAUGGGUAACCUACCCUGGAGUUGGGCAUAGCUAUUCUAACGAAUAGGUAAUUCCCGAUGGCCCAGCGAGAAGACAUCUUUUUGCUGGUAAAGAGUUUCGCUCUGGGAGGGGCCCAUGUGCUAUUAGCUAGUUGGCGGGGUAACGGCCCACCAAGGCUAAGAUGGCUAGCGGGUGUGAGAGCACGACCCGCGCCACUGGCACUGAGACACUGGCCAGACACCUACGGGUGGCUGCAGUCGAGGAUCUUCGUCAAUGGGCGAAAGCCUGAACGAGCGACGCCGCGUGCGCGAUGAAGGCCUUCGGGUUGUAAAGCGCGAAAGUGGGGACGAAGCCGAAAGGUUGACCGAUCCACAGUAAGCUCGGGCUAAGUUCGUGCCAGCCGCCGCCGUAACAC